GACGAACGCUGGCGGCGUGCUUAACACAUGCAAGUCGAACGGAAAGGCCCUGCUUUUGUGGGGUGCUCGAGUGGCGAACGGGUGAGUAACACGUGAGUAACCUUCCCUUGACUUUGUGAUAACUUCAGGAAACUGGGGCUAAUACCGGAUAGGAGCUCCUGCUGCAUGGUGGGGGUUGGAAAGUUUCGGCGGUUGGGGAUGGACUCGCGGCUUUCAGGUUGUUGGGGGGGUAGUGGCCUACCAAGGCUUUGACUGGUAGCCGGCCUGAGAGGGUGACCGGCCACAAUGGGACUGAGAUACGGCCCAGACUCCUACGGGAGGCAGCAGUGGGGAAUCUUGCACAAUGGGCGGAAGCCUGAUGCAGCAACGCCGCGUGCGGGAUGAAGGCCUUCGGGUUGUAAACCGCUUUCGCCUGUGACGAAGCGUGAGUGACGGUAAUGGGUAAAGAAGCACCGGCUAACUACGUG
rnacentral:rRNA from 1 species